CAAGAAUUAACAUUGAUGGUGAUGAUGGAAGGGCCUUCAUAAGGUGCCCUCCAGCAACCCCAGCCUGGAGCCAGAGGCUGGUACUGCACAUCAGAUGGGGUAUGAUCUGUGCUAGGCAUCAGAAAGGUGGUCUACGCAAGAAGGCAAGAGCUUCUGCAGACAGUGUUGCAAUUAGACACCUGACCUUUACUGCCAAAGGGAUCCCCAUCAGAGCACCUCUGCCUUCCCUGCAGGACAACUAUACCAGAAGAGUACGGACGAGGACUCAACAUGUUUUAAAGGACAUUUCACGCCCAGACCAUGGACUGUUGAAACCACUGAGGUCAAGCAGAAGUCUUGUUCUCACUCGAGACAGGUCAUUGACAGGCGGCGAGUGUCACUACCCAAGUACCCCCACUGCAGACGAGAAAGCCAUAUUGAUUUGAGUAUUUCUUGAUAAAUACA